rnacentral:other from 1 species
GGUUUGCUGCGGGGCCCGUUAGGAGCGCUUUUCCCCUGGGCCGAUAAGACUCGCUAGGGAGCUGUCCCUGUCCUUGACCGUGGUCUUGGACAUAUGGCGCCCACCUACUUUGUAGGGACCUGGCGGGAUCGUACGCUCCGACGGCCUUCGCGGCGCAAUA